rnacentral:rRNA from 1 species
CAACUUUCAGCAAUGGAUCUCUUGGCUCUCGCAUCGAUGAAGAACGCAGCGAAUCGCGAUAUGUAAUGUGAAUUGCAGAUCUUCCGUGAAUCAUCGAAUCUUUGAACGCAUCUUGCGCUCCUCGGUGCUCCGAGGAGCAUGCCUGUUUGAGUGUCGUCGAAUCCU